CCUACGGGGGGCAGCAGUAAGGAAUAUUGGUCAAUGGACGCAAGUCUGAACCAGCCAUGCCGCGUGGAGGAUGAAGGUCCUCUGGAUUGUAAACUUCUUUUAUUUGGGAAGAAACUCCCGAUUUCCAUCGGGAUUGACGGUACCAGAUGAAUAAGCACCGGCUAACUCCGUGCCAGCAGCCGCGGUCAUACGGAGGGUGCCAGAUUCACCGGGAGUCACUGGGUCGUAGGUGGGCAGGUGAGUCAGGGUAGAAAUCUCCGGGCUUAACCCGGAAACUGCCAUUGAUACUAUUUGUCUUGAAUACUCUGGAGGUGAGCGGAAUAUGUCAUGUAGCGGUGAAAUGCUUAGAUAUGACAUAGAACACCCAUUGCGAAGGCAGCUCACUACGGAAAUAUUGACGCUGAGGCACGAAAGCGUGGGGAUCAAACAGGAUUAGAUACCCCAGUAGUC
rnacentral:rRNA from 1 species